UGUUCCGUAACACUUCGGUCUCAUAUAUAUAUCUUCCUUUCAAAUCUUGAAAACAGUAUGUUAACCUUACGGAUCAAUAUGGACAUUAACAAAUACAAGUUCGGCGUUUUCUGCCUUACUUUGAUGCUGCACUUUUAUGUGUCUGUAACUGCAACCAGAAAAGCCAGACUGAGAGAAAUAAGUACAGCGGCGACGGAAUGACCUUGACUUGGAGCAGUUGGAACAGGUUGUUGCGAACAAUGUAUCUUUUACCAUUGCUUUAACUGAAGUUAUGUCCACUGCAAUUCCAAUCAACGUUAAGGAAACGUUUCCUUUUACUUCAGUUUUACCGAAGCAAAGGCCGAUGUAGAAUGUAGUGGCAACUGUCUAGAAACGGACGACGAGAAGCUGGCAUGUGACCUAGUUACACAUACAUGUUUGCAUGGUUGUAAAGAUGGCUUCGGUGGAUCAGACUGCUCCCUAGAAUGUUGCUUCAGUUGCAAGACGUGUACAGCAAAUGAAAGCAUGUCAGUGGUUUGUAUUGAAUGCAUGGGUGAUUUCUUCCUUGAUAGAGGCAUGUGCAUGCCAUGUAGCAGAUCAUGUGCAAAUGGCACAUGUAGAGCUAGUGACGGAUAUUGUGAGCUUGGUUGUCAAGCUGGUUACUAUGGAAACACAUGUGCAGAAAAAUGUAGCAACAAUUGCAAAGACAGAAUAUGCAGAGCUGAUAAUGGUACAUGUAUCAGUGGAUGUUCACUAUCAGUUUUACAUGGACCGCACUGUUCAAAGGCCUGUAAUCAAGAUUGUAUAAACAGAGAAUGUGACCAAAAUGGUGUUUGUGUACGCGGUUGUUACAAUCACGCAUGGAAACCUGAUUGCAGUAUGAGAUGUAGUGGCUACUGUAUGGAGCCGCCUGACCACUAUACACGUGUUUGUGAUCUGACUUCUGGUCAGUGUUUAUACGGAUGCGUCAACGGCACAUAUUGGGGCGAAAAUUGUACAAGUAUUUGCAACACAGAAUGCCAAGGUCAGAAAUGUGACUUCAAGAGUGGAGAAUGUACACAUGGUUGCACUGAAGGAUAUAAAGGACGUAACUGUACAGAAAAAAUUUCAGAAGAUUCUGGUCUUGCCGCUUGGAAAAUUGCUUUGAUAGUCAUUGGAAUUGUCGUCGGAUUAGCCAUCCUGAUUUGCCUCAUUGUAUGGUGCAUGUGUGGUAUGAGACAACAGUGAUGCGUUUAUUCUAGAAAAAAUGCAUAUUUGAUACGUUCUUGUCAGAUAUUGUCCUUUCUGGCCAAACGUUAUUGUCCGUUUUGAACAGAAGAAAUGAAACUUGAACAUUGAUCCUUUACGAGUGACGCAAAGAACAAUUCUGAAGCUCUCAAAGAGCAGCCAGUGUAGAAUAAGACAAUGUUUUAGCAUUCAUUCUAAAAAGUGUCAUAUUUCAAUAUUUUUAAUUCUUUAUAGCAGAAAACUCAUACAGUCGAGCUUAUUUCUUGGAAUCAAAGAACAUUUUCUGUAUUGUAUAAAGCAUUUGUAUAAGACUGGACAGCACGUCUCUGCAAAUUUCUUGGUAGAAUCAACUUUUCUGUUAGUGUUACUUCACGUACAAGCAUUCACUCUACGAAGUACAAUGAAGCAUUCUUCAUGUAAUCUAGAUUAACCUCAGAACAUAUUACAUAGCACAGUUUUCUGAACAGAAUCAGUCUUUGUACAACAAUACCUUGAACAAGUUACUGAAGAUAUACAAACCGAAUCUAAAUAGAUAUUUUUAUUAUUAUUUAUUUUGGAUUUAACGUCACACCGACACAUGAUAGGUCAUAUGGCGACUUUCCAGCUUUAAUGGUGGAUGAAGACCCCAGGUGCCCCUCCGUGCAUUAUUUUAUCACGAGCGGGCACCUGGGUAGAACCACCGACCUUCCGUAUGCCAGCUAGAUGCCUUCCUCACAUGAAGAAUUCAACGCCCAAGGCGUUUUUUAUCUAGAAUAUAACAGUCAUAUGCUUAUCACGUUAAAUACACGGAACACUUUAAACGACAAAAUAGUGAUGAUACAUUUUCAAAGCAUUCCCUUUCCAACUGAAUGCAUUUUAUAUUUAUGAAAAGGUAUAUACUCGUAUACCGGGUCGAGAUACACAUAAACACCAUUGUUCAGACAUGAUUUCGUGCUGGUCAGCAUAGACAAAAGGGUUGUACUACGCAUUGUGGAUAAAUAUUUAAACGCACAUUCUAUAAGAAAGACUGUUUCAUCAACAUGUCCCCGUUUUGCUGCUUUUGGUGAAAAUUAAAAUUAAUAUAAGUAUC
rnacentral:misc_RNA from 1 species